CCUAAGACAUGCAAGUCGAACGAGAUGGCCCACAGAUUUAAGAAGGAAAACAGAGUGCUUGCACGAAGUUAGAAUUUGAUGACGUGGAAUUUCCAUCUAGUGGCAAACGGGUGAAUAACACGUGGGUAACCUACCUCUAAGUUGGGAUAACAGUUGGAAACGACUGAUAAUACCGAAUAAAAUGUAAGAGUCAAUUUUACAUUGAAAGGAGCCUUUAAAGCUUCGCGAUUAGAUGGGCCUGCGGCGUAUUAACUAGUUGGUGAGGUAAUGGCUUACCAAGGUGACGAUGCGUAGCCGAACUGAGAGGUUGAUCGGCCACAUUGGGACUGAGACACGGCCCAAACUCCUACGGGAGACAGCAGUUAGGAAUAUUCGUCAAUGGAGGAAACUCUGAACGAGCAAUGCCGCGUGAGUGAUGAAGGUCUUAUAGAUUGUAAAACUCUGUUGUAUGGAAAAAACGACUAGGUUAGGAAAUGAACUUGGUGUGAUGGUACCAUACCAGAAAGCCCCGGCUAACUACGUG
rnacentral:rRNA from 1 species